rnacentral:rRNA from 1 species
UGAGGAAUAUUGGUCAAUGGACGGAAGUCUGAACCAGCCAAGUAGCGUGCAGGAUGACGGCCCUAUGGGUUGUAAACUGCUUUUGUAUGGGGAUAAAGUUAGGGACGUGUCCCUAUUUGCAGGUACCAUACGAAUAAGGACCGGCUAAUUCCGUGCCAGCAGCCGCGGUAAUACGGAAGGUCCAGGCGUUAUCCGGAUUUAUUGGGUUUAAAGGGAGCGUAGGCUGGAGAUUAAGUGUGUUGUGAAAUGUAGACGCUCAACGUCUGAAUUGCAGCGCAUACUGGUUUCCUUGAGUACGCACAACGUUGGCGGAAUUCGUCGUGUAGCGGUGAAAUGCUUAGAUAUGACGAACAACUCCGAUUGCGAAGGCCGCUGACGGGAGCGCAACUGACGCUUAAGCUCGAAGGUGCGGGUAUCAAACAGGAUUAGAUACCCUGGUAGUCCGCACAGUAAACGAUGGAUGCCCGCUGUUGGUACCUGGUAUCAGCGGCUAAUCGAAAGCAUUAAGCAUCCCACCUGGNGAGUACGCCGGCGACGGUG